AUUGAACGCUGGCGGCAGGCCUAACACAUGCAAGUCGAGCGGAGCGGCGGACGGGAGAGUAAUGCCUAGGAAUCUGCCUGGUAGUGGGGGAUAACGUCAGGAAACGGGCGCUAAUAACGCAUACCAUCAGAUGUGCCCAGAUGGGAUUAGCUAGGAGGUGGGGUAAUGGCUCACCUAGGCGACGAUCCCUAGCUGGUCUGAGAGGAUGACCAGCCACACUGGAACUGAGACACGGUCCAGACUCCUACGGGAGGCAGCAGGGGGGAAUAUUGCACAAUGGGCGCAAGCCUGAUGCAGCCAUGCCGCGUGUGUGAAGAAGGCCUUCGGGUUGUAAAGCACUUUCAGCGAGGAGGCGUUACUCGCAGAGGAAGCACCGGCUAACGCCGUGCCAGCAGCCGCGGUAAUUC
rnacentral:rRNA from 1 species